AGUCUGGUGCCAGCAGCCGCGGUAAUUCCAGCUCCAAUAGCGUAUAUUAACGUUGUUGCAGUUAAAAAGCUCGUAGUUGAAGUGAGGGAGUGUGUGUUCAUGAGAGCUAGUCUCGAGUGUUCACAACCUCCCCCCUCCAAUCGGUGUAGUGGGGUAUUCAGUUAUUUCACUACUCCUUUGGUCGUUUACUGUGAGAAAAUUAGAGUGUUCAAAGCGGGCGUUUGUUUGAAUAGAUUAGCAUGGAAUAAUGAUUGAAGGCUUUCGUGUUCGAUUUGAUUGGUUUGCUCAUGGAAGCAAGGUUAAAAGGAACAGUUGGGGGUAUUCAUAUUCACUAGUUAGAGGUGAAAUUCUCGGAUUUAUGGAAGAUGAACAGGUGCGAAGCAUUUACCAAGGAUGUUUUCAUUAAUCAAGAACGAAAGCUAGGGGAUCGAAGAGGAUUAGAUACCCUCGUAGUCUUAGCUAUAAACGAUACCGACUAGGGGUUAGUAGAGGUCAAUGUGUCUCUAUUAGUACCUUAUGAGAAAUCAAAGUCUUUGGGUUCCGGGGGGAGUAUGGUCGCAAGGCUGAAACUUAAAGGAAUUGACGGAAGGGCACCACCAGGAGUGGAGCCUGCGGCUUAAUUUGACCCAACACGGGGAAACUUACCAGGUCCAGACAUAGGAAGGAUUGACAGAUUGAUAGCUCUUUCUCGAUUCUAUGGGUGGUGGUGCAUGGCCGUUCUUAGUUGGUGGAGUGAUUUGUCUGGCUAAUUCCGAUAACGAACGAGACCUCCGCCUUUAACUAGUGUUGGCUAUUGUGAUAGCUGAUACUUCUUGGAGGGACACUAUACGUAAAGUGUAGGGAAGCUGGAGGCAAUAACAGGUCUGUGAUGCCCUUAGAUGUUCUGGGCUGCACGCGCGCGACACUGAUCUAUUCAACGAGUGGCUGUGUCGAUAGACUUGGCAAAUCUUGUGAAAGUAGAUCGUGAUGGGGAUUGAUGCUUGUAAUUGUUCAUCAUGAACGAGGAAUUCCUAGUAAACGCAAGUCAUCAACUUGCAUUGAUUACGUCCCUGCCCUUUGUACACACCGCCCGUCGCACCUACCGAUUGAAUGGUCCGGUGAACACUUUGGAUUUUAGGCGAAUGAACUGUAAAAGGGGAGUUCGUUUGGGAGAAGUCGUGUAAAUCUUAUCAU
rnacentral:rRNA from 1 species